rnacentral:rRNA from 1 species
GAUGAACGCUGGCGGCGUGCCUAAUACAUGCAAGUCGAGCGAACAGAUAAGGAGCUUGCUCCUUUGACGUUAGCGGCGGACGGGUGAGUAACACGUGGGUAACCUACCUAUAAGACUGGGAUAACUUCGGGAAACCGGAGCUAAUACCGGAUAACAUUUGGAACCGCAUGGUUCUAAAGUGAAAGAUGGUUUUGCUAUCACUUAUAGAUGGACCCGCGCCGUAUUAGCUAGUUGGUAAGGUAACGGCUUACCAAGGCGACGAUACGUAGCCGACCUGAGAGGGUGAUCGGCCACCCUGGAACUGAGCCACGGUCCAGACUCCUACGGGAGGCAGCAGUAGGGAAUCUUCCGCAAUGGGCGAAAGCCUGACGGAGCAACGCCGCGUGAGUGAUGAAGGGUUUCGGCUCGUAAAACUCUGUUAUUAGGGAAGAACAAAUGUGUAAGUAACUGUGCACGUCUUGACGGUACCUAAUCAGAAAGCCACGGCUAACUACGUG